GCUAAGGCUCCGCGUUGAAGGCCGUACAUUGACCUAUAAUGGUUUACUUUUAUAAAUUGUUAUUUGAAUUUAGAGUUGUCUCAUUGGCCCUCACACCACAUCUUAAUGUAUCUAUUAUGUACAGAUGCUGACAGUUAGUUCAAAGUUAAAACAGACUAAUAAAAUAAAUCAUGCAUCUAGGACUCAAUUAUCAAUCAGUACAC
rnacentral:lncRNA from 1 species